AGGCAGAGGCCUGUUGGUUAAGGCAUAUAGCUGUUAACUAUAGAAUCAUGGGAUCGAAGCCCAUCUGCCUA
rnacentral:tRNA from 1 species